UACGAAGGGGGCUAGCGUUGCUCGGAAUCACUGGGCGUAAAGGGCGCGUAGGCGGCCAUUCAAGUCGGGGGUGAAAGCCUGUGGCUCAACCACAGAAUUGCCUUCGAUACUGUUUGGCUUGAGUAUGGUAGAGGUUGGUGGAACUGCGAGUGUAGAGGUGAAAUUCGUAGAUAUUCGCAAGAACACCAGUGGCGAAGGCGGCUAACUGGACCAUUACUGACGCUGAGGCGCGAAAGCGUGGGGAGCAAACAGG
rnacentral:rRNA from 1 species